rnacentral:rRNA from 1 species
UUUAUGGAGAGUUUGAUCCUGGCUCAGGAUGAACGCUGGCGGCGUGCCUAAUACAUGCAAGUCGAGCGAACAGACGAGGAGCUUGCUCCUCUGACGUUAGCGGCGGACGGGUGAGUAA